CUCCCCCACUCGCGUCGCGCCCUCUCCUCUUCCUCCUGCCUCGCCUCUCUCCCUCCCUCCAAACCCUAGACCCGCCCGCGCCUCCCUGCCCCGCCACCGUCCAGCUCCAGCCCCACGCCGCCGUCAUCUCCUUCACCCAGACGGCCGCCGCCGCACCGCACGCCCGUGAGCAGGGGCGAGAAGGAGAACCACCGCCCACCCCAGGAGCGCGAGGAGGACGAGCCCGACGUCGAGAUCGCACGCAUCGAGCCCGAGAUCCUGCGCCUCUCCUCCAGUUUCCUCCACCUCCGCGUCUUCCGGGCCACGACGUGCAGCCGUCUGGGACGGGGCCGCGGGCCAGGGGGGGGGGGAGGCCUCGCCCCCCUCGAUCUGGACAGGGUCGCGGCCUGCCUACAACCACCGUCAGCCCGCCGCCGCGGCGCGCCUUGCCGGCCGACGCCUCCGCUGCCCCGCCGCCGGUACAGGUGCCCAGCAGCGCCUCCCUCCCUGGAGCAGCCGCUCCCGCGUAGCAACGCCGCCGCCCGAAGUUGCGCCGGCGACCCGUCCAGAGGCAGUCGCAGAUGAUUGAUCAACAGACCUACCUAUGAAGGUAGAGUGGAAGAACUGGAAAUAAAGAUGCAGGGAAAGGGCAAUGAUGCUGCAACAUCACUUGUUUCAUGGCAUAAAGAGAUAGAGGUAUCUAUGCACUGACACAUCUUUCUUGCUCCCCUGCUCCGACCCUGCAGAGGGUGCGUCAAUGGCCGGAGCAGAGGAGAAGACCCUGGCAGAGCGCGCCAUCUCCAUUGUCGCGACCCACCCUCCUGUCCACAUCUCCCCGCCCCUUCUCCUCUAGCAGGAGGAGCACGAGCUGAGGCUGUCCGCCUCUAAUUCUGCAGUGCGCCCGACGACGGCCUCCACAGCAGCAGCAGCAGCAAGCCUUUGACUAGCUCGCGGCACCAGAAGUGGGCGACAAAGGCCAUUGCCUGGUUGUUUGAUGCGUUUGUGCUCAUUGGCGGGACGGUGCAAGGCGCAACUCCGAUGUGGUUCCUCGCCGGUUGGAUGGCGUUCAGGCGCAACCCCGACGCGCAUUGAGUAUUGCCUCGGCUACAACCUCCCUCGGUGAACUCCAUCUUCCUCCUGCUCCUCUGCUUUGGCUACUGUAUCCAGAAACAUGAGACGGAUCGAAACCUGAGCGUUCUCAGCGAUUAGAGCAUUCUGGCUGUCCGAUCGUUUCCUUGAUGCUGUUUUGGCCGUUGGAUCUCAGGCUCGGUCGCUGUGGGCCGUCGGAUAUUUACCCGAUCGUCUCCAACCGUUGGAUAUUUUUCCCUAUGAGCGGUGUCAUACCCGGCCGUUCCACCGCGCGUUAUUUUGGUGCCCCCAGGGUAUUCUCGUCAUUUCGCUUUGUCUAUGGCGGUGGUGUUCGUGCUAGGGCGAUGAUGAUUAACUGUGGCUGAAAUAAGUGUGCCUUUGAGCAAUCGAGGCACCUGUGGGUAUCAAGUUGGAUCCUCCCUGUUGUCUCUAGAAUCCUUUUUGAUCCUGUGAUACCUAUUGAUCUGUCCUUGGAUGGUCAUUCUUGUUGAUUGAUAACCAGGGCAGCUCCAUUGUAUAAACAGAUUGAUCUGGUGAUAAGAGAUGAUGGGGAUAGGUUAUAUGAUCGAGGAAAGGCGAAUCUGAGCCCACUAUGCAAUGAACAUCAAACCCCUUUUAUUUGUAUUUAAAGGUGUUUCUUACUUAUGCUCCAGUGUUUAUAGCCGUCUUAUGUAAAGAUUUAUUCUCUCUUAUAACUUUAUUGCAUAUAAGUUGUUCUUGAUCUUUUAUUGUUUGUUGUUGAUCCUUGAUUUAGUCUGGUUAGGAUUUCUUCUCUGUCUUAUGUAAAGAUUUCUUCUCUCUCAUACCAAUUUUUUUUGCAUGAGGUUUCUGGAUAAUUUGCAGUUCGGUCGGUGCCGUGGCGGAGGGUUGUCUUAUGGUUUGACCGGAGAGGGAGCACACCGGAGAAGUGAUCUCGUCCCCAUUGGUCAGAUUAUCCAACCCCCUCUGCUUCGUACAAUUUUGUCGACUUAUCUGGCAUUUUCUCGGCCGAGUGGAACCAGCACAUCUACCUACGAAUCUCCAGGCUAUGGUACCAGCGGGGUGGCUUCGAUGAUGGCCCUAUCAAGAGUAUACAUAUGGUCAUGACCGACCAAAAGGUGAGUGGUUUUUUUUUUCUGUUUUCCUUUUAACAAAGCAUACACUGUUUACACGAGGGGUGGCUAGCUCUUCUAUACAUUGUUGUCUCCUUAGGAGAUCCAAGAGCUUCUCUUGGUUGUGUAUAAUCUAAAUAGGCUAAAUUGUAGCUUUUUAAUGCUGAUGACUGUAUCUUUUGACAUUGCUCUCUAGGGUUAUAUGCUUCUUGCUGGGUUGUUUUAUUUGUUCUGAAGGCAUCAUCAUGUGUGAUUGUAGUUACAUUGCCUCCUUCACACUUACAUCCACCAUCAAUCAGUUAGACACUCCCUUUUUUCCAAAUAAAAUCAAGUGAAUGUUGUACUCCCAAACCAAUUAGCGCGUUUCGGUUUGAUAAAUACCGUGCAUUGAUCCCUGCACUUUUGACAAAUUUAUAUUCUCAUGACAUCUCCGGUUUACUCCCGUUUUUUUGUGUGCAAGGAUCGUCACAUUAUGGUGCCAUUGUUAAAGCCUGUUGUUUCCUUGGACCUGCAUUGUUGCAGGUGAUUCUCCUCUACCAUUCUCUGUUUUCUAUGUUGGCAUUCAUGUGGUUUCGGAAUGAAUUGUUUGUUGCCACAACUUGCCAUAUUUUUAUCCCCUGGUUUAAGUGUAAAAGUUCAGGUUUAAGUGGUUUCUACCUCCUUGUAAUCUGCCGCUUCGUUGACUCGGCUGUCCAUGCCCAUUGUUUGUGACAAUGAUCAUUAACAACCACUAUCAAUGUAUGUAUGCUUUGUAGGCGCUCCAUUUUUAGAGGAACUACAUCUUUACAGUCAUUUUCGCUUUAAGACAAUGGUCAUUACCUACUGCUAUGUACGACGCAUAGGUUAUUGCACUAUUAAUUUAUCUUUUAAUAAAAGAUGGUCUACUCUAAUCUC